ACAGACACCCUCUCUAGCUUCCUAGAGAGAGAAGGACUUGGUUGCUUGGGAAGCUAAGAAGAGUACCUAGGGUGGAACAAUGCUGUGGGAGGGCAGAGAGAGCUGGGGAGCUCCACCCGAGCAAACCCGUAGGCUGAAGACCUAGUUAAGGACACACAAAAGUGUAGAUACUAGCUCACCAAAUUCAUCCCUGAGACCACUCAAGUAACACCUAUACUAGGAGGACCACUCAAGUAACACCUAUACUAGAUAGCAGGAAAGUGCAUGGAAGAACAUCACAUUCUGAUUUCCACUGUUGAAGACCUACCACUCAAAGUGCUUCACAAGCAGGAAAUGACUACAUUUCCAAACGUUAUAUUCUUCAGAAACUACUUCCUUUAUUUCAAGACUCUUGAAUUAUGGAAGGUUUGCACUUUUUCCCCUUCAGUAGUUUAGAGUCAUCUUAGCUGUUAGUGUUUAAAAAACAAACUGUAGAAAACAUUCAUGCAUGAAAAUCAUUACUGCUGCUUUUGUUAUAGGGAUGAUACAGGCUUCCCAUCCCCCCAGUAAAUACUAUUAUUGAAAUGUUUCCAUAUCUUGCCUUUUUUUGUGUGCGCACAGGUGCAAGGCAUUGCUCAAA